CGGCCAAGCUCCCCGGGCCGGGCAGCCGUCAGCACGUCACGUCACUGCCCGUGGGAGACCCAGGGAAAUGCGGAAGGAGUUCCCGGCUCCGCUGCUGCUUGAGCCGCCUGCUCUUCGGCCCCGGGCCAGGCCAGACCGGGCGCGCGACCGAGAAGGAACCGGGACGGGCCGAGUGGAUGAAGUAGAAGGGCGGUGGGUCCCCGCCAACCCCUUCCGCUGCAGCUGCCGCUUCUGCCGCCGUCUCCGUUCCAACUCGGCCGUAAAAUUCCGCUCCGGGCUCAGACUUGCUCAACUCGGCGCCGGGGAAUGAGGAGUUGUUUAGGCCUGGAAAAUCCCCAACAUUUUGGGGUGGCUUCUCCACAGGCAUUGCCCUGGGCACCCCCGCCUCCCAAAUCGUAAUACAUCCCCCUCGCUUGCCGAAAAUAAAUUUAUCCACAGCCUUUUGGAAAAUGAAAAUAAGAGAUCACAAUUCAUCUGAAAUGAAAUAAAAACCACUCUACAUCCUCCCAUGUCAGAUUACCUGAAAAGGACUAUAAUUGCCAUGGAGGUCAUGAAUUCACAAGUUUCGUCAGACUUUCUUCCCAGGAUAUUUUGGGAGUUCCAGUCCCAAUCCUGAGAUGACAAUCAAGAGCUUGUAGAGUCACUGCCAUGCAGAUACUGUCAAGAGAUUUGAUUUUCAAUACAAUGUGGACAUCUGUGCAACAGCUUCCUCACUAAAAAUGCAUUCCAACUGUAUGG